rnacentral:rRNA from 1 species
CCCUUAGACGUUCUGGGCCGCACGCGCGCUACACUGACGAAGGCAACGAGCUACUCUUCACCGAAAGGUGUGGGUAAUCUUUUGAAACUUCGUCGUGCUGGGGAUAGAUCCUUGCAAUUUUUGAUCUUAAACGAGGAAUUCCUAGUAAGCGCAAGUCAUCAACUUGCGUUGAUUACGUCCCUGCCCUUUGUACACACCGCCCGUCGCACCUACCGAUUGGAUGGUCCGGUGAAGCCUCGGGAUUGUGGUUCUUGCCGCUUUAUUGUGGCGUGACCGCGAGAACUUGUCUAAACCUUAUCAUCUAGAGGAAGGUGAAGUCGUAACA